rnacentral:rRNA from 10 species
GUCUACGGCCAUACCACCCUGAACGCGCCCGAUCUCGUCUGAUCUCGGAAGCUAAGCAGGGUCGGGCCUGGUUAGUACUUGGAUGGGAGAUAUGGAUC